rnacentral:lncRNA from 1 species
AUGUUGAUCUUGUUCCUUCUCCUGCUCCUUGCUACAGCUUGCGUGGCCUCCGUGGGUGUCGGACUAUGGGUCGCCGGCAACCACUUCCUCACCACAGACAUCCCUGCUGCCAUCAGCCAUCCAGUGAGACUGUGGGUCUUCAACUGCAUCUUCCAGCUUUUGAUAACAUGGGGGAUGAUUUUUGAGAAACUGAGAAUCUGCUCUAUGCCCCAGUUUGUCCGUUUCGUUCACGAUCUGCCACCACUAAGGAAGCAUCCGGAUGUGGUGGUCAAGGACCUCCGGUUUGGGACAAUCCCCGUGAAGCUGUACCAGCCCAAGGCAUCCACAAGCGGUCUCAGGCCUGGCAUUGUGUUCUUCCAUGGUGGCGGGGGCAUCUUAGGGAGCCUGAAAACACACCAUGGCAUAUGCUGUAAUUUGUGCAAGAAGAGUGAUGCGGUGGUUCUAGCAGUUGGAUACCGCAUGAUGCCUAAGCAUAAGUUUCCAGUGAUAGUAACAGACUGCAUGGUGGGUACAAUCCACUUCUUGAAGUCCUUGAAUACGUAUGGAGUGGAUCCAGCCCGGGUCAUAGUCUGUGGUGACAGUGUGGGCGGGGCCGUGGCAACAGUCCUUUGUCAAAAGUUUGUGGACCGUUCUGAUCUCCCCAAGAUUCGUGCUCAGAUCCUCAUCUAUUCCACUCUCCAGAGCCUGGAUUUCCAGUCCCCUUCCUAUCAGCAGAACAAAAACAUUCCACUGCUCAGCCAGAAUUUGAUCUUCUAUUGUUGGUGUGGUUACCUGGACAUCAGCCCCUCCUGGAGAAGUGCUGUAUUGAAAGGCACCCACUUGCCUGCGGAAGUCUGGGAAAAGUACAGGAAGUGGUUGGGUGCAGAAAACAUCCCAGACAAGUUUAAGAAGAGAGGUUACCUGCCUGUGUCCCGUGAGCCCCUGAAUGAGGCUGCCUAUCUGGAGACAAAAAUCAUUCUAGAUGUGAUGAACUCACCCUUGAUUGCAGACAAUGAAGUAGUGUCUCGGCUCCCUGAAGCUUGCAUCGUGAGCUGGGCUCCCAUACAAACACCUGAUCACCCACCACCAGGAGCCCUCACAGCGCUAUCUGAUCAGCACCUACGACGACCAUUACAACCGGCAUAA